UGCCCUUCUCAUUUCUUUCCAAGUAAACCUGUUGUCAUUUUUUACUUAAAUAAAACACUUCUCAUCAAUAUGAACAAAGUUGAACAUAAGUAUUGUCUUUUUGUUGUUGGUGUGUCUCUCAUUAACAAGUUUAAAACUUUUAACCCUUUGCUUUGGUUUACAUCUUUCAAAGCAGAGUGUAAAGGAUUUGUGUGAGGUUUAAUGAGUCUCUCUUUUUAUCAUUCUGUUUGAUGUACUUGCACCUACUUCGAGUUGCACUGCCAAAUCUCUUAUGCAAAUCUGUCUCCCAUGUUGAUUUCAGUUAUUGCAUUAGAUUGCAAUUGAAUCCUUUUUCUCCCUGAGUUAUGACCCUUGGUUUCCAUGUUGUAUGUUUGUUUCGCUGACUUUUGCCUCCUUGUAGUGCUCCAUAUUGUGCUGAUUGUUCUUCUUGUGACAUAAUAAAUUGCAGCCACUUCUUAAAUUGCACCUCGGUUAAAAUUUUCAUUUGUCUGAUUUUCCAAAACCACAUAACUACAUAAUAACAUAAGUAUUUGCAUUCUUGAGUCAGAACUCAGUUUAGGCUUUUUCCUGUGAUGCUGACCAGUUGCUGCUGUUUGAUGUUCAUCUGCAGGCUGUUCAGACUCGUCAUCAGCAGGCUGAUUCAAAUCAAACCAGGAAGCUAUCAUCUGCUGUUUCAUUGAGAUCGAAAGGGAAUACUGUUUCAUUUGCUGCUUCAUUAAGAUCGAAAGGAUUUCCAAAACAAACAGAGAAAAUAAAAUUUUCAGUUUAAAGGUGUUUGAUGCUUGAUGUUGCUGCUGAGAUUUUCAGUUUACAUUUUCAUAAAAUUUAGUUAUAAACUUUUGAGAUUUUAGCCUAAUCUGUGCAUAUGUAAUCUUGAUUUCGGAUUGUGGUUCAAAUUUAUUCUUGUAUUCUAAUUGGUUGAUAGCAGCAGUGGUGGAUUAUGCUUAUGUUUUAGCUAAUGUUAGCAUCUCUGUAAUUAAUGCAUGGUAAUAGAAGUCAAUGGUAGUUAGUGC
rnacentral:lncRNA from 1 species